UUUUUAUUUUUUCAUAUUUUUUAAAUUAUUUUGUUAUUCUGGAGAAAAAUACCCCCUUUUUUAACGCUCUCAGCCGAAACUGAGUCCAACCUCCCGCGCAGGUAGCCGCGGCCAUAAUUCCUGCGGCAUUUCACACUGGUUUCACUAAACUCAGCUUUCCCUUCACUCCCUCUAAAUACAGCCCUUCCCAGAGAGGGCACUGAAAAAAGAAAACCAAGCGGGCCGGGCUGCGCGGAGCCCAGCCCGACCUGACCCCCCAUGCAAGGGCAGCCCCCCUCUGCCCCCGGCUUGUCUCCUUUCCCGUGUCCUUUCAAGCUUUAUUCUCUUGCAAGACGCCAAAGCGCCGCAGACAAAAAUUAAGUUAACAAGGAAAUUAGCUGGGCAGAAAAAGCCAGGGAUGCUUCCCCGCUCCAGACCUGCUCCUUCCACUGAAGGAACCUGCUCAGAAGCGGUGGAAUAACCUGUCUCGGGAGGGCUCGAGGGUGAACUACGGAGGGAGAAACACGCGUGGGGGAGAUCAGCGAGCGACGACCUCUACGAAAACGCGGCUGAGAAAACGGGGUGUUGGUUUGUACCCCGAACUAAAGCGGCGGCUUGGGCCAGCAGAGACUUUAUUUAUUGAACCAAUAUUCUGAACAAUUACCGAGAGGAACAAAAUAACCCCCAAUACCCAACUGUAGCAGCGGCCGCCCGAGUCCGCGGGUGAGCUGCCGCCGACCCGGGCCCGGAGCAGCACCCCCCUGUUGAGACCGCGCAUUUCUGCGCCUACAGACCACGUGCAGAGCCCAGAACUCCUCCGUAGCUGCGUAUGGCUUUAUUUAGCUAGAGCUCUGUCCGUGCGUAAUGUGUAUAAAGCGCUAAGUAGCUUUAUAUAUUUUAAAUAUUUAUAUAGCUCAACUACGUAUAUGUACGUGUUGUUAUAUAAAGAUAACGCAAA